rnacentral:misc_RNA from 1 species
AGCACACAAAACCUUCUUUUGGGUAUUCUUCCCUCCCUUCCUCAUUACUUCUUCAUUCCUUUCCUUCUCCUUGACCUCUCUUUGGGGAAAGAAAGAAAGAAAGAACCAAACCGAUCCCACUGUUUUUGUCCCAAGAAAAAUGAAGAACCAACUGGGUUGCUGCCUCAAGUUUCUUGAGACUUCUAAACCCUACUUUGCUAUGAUCUCCUUACAAUUUGGCUAUGCAGGGAUGAACAUUAUUACCAAAGUCUCACUGAACCGUGGCAUGAGCCACUAUGUUCUUGUAGUUUAUCGCCAUGCUUUUGCCACUGCAGUUAUCGCCCCCUUCGCUUUCAUUUUUGAGAGGUUUAAAAUCCAAACUCAAGAAAUUGUAAACUUUUCAUCUGUGUUUGCUGUAAUUUUCAAUAAUUCUUGAUCCUUAUUGAAUUCAUAUCUUUUCCAACAUUCCAGGAAAGCACAGCCGAGGAUUACCUUUCCCAUUUUCCUGCAACUGUUUGUCCUUGGCCUUCUUGGACCUGUGAUAGAUCAGAACUUCUACUAUGCUGGGCUGAAAUUUACAUCUCCAACUUUCUCUUGUGCAAUGAGCAACAUGCUUCCUGCCAUGACAUUUGUAAUGGCAGUCAUAUUCAGGAUGGAGAAAUUAGACCUAAAGAAGUUGAGGUGCCAAGCAAAAAUAGCGGGGACUUUGGUGACAGUAGCUGGAGCAAUGCUCAUGACCUUAUACAAGGGUCCAAUAGUGGAGAUGGUGUGGUCUAAGCAUGUUCAUCCUCGAAAAUCCUAUGUUACCGAUACCACUGGAACCACUGACAAGGACUGGUUCAAGGGCUCCAUCCUCCUUAUCUUUGCUACCCUUGCCUGGGCCUCAUUGUUCGUUUUACAAACCAAAGCUUUGAAGACGUACAAGAAUCAUCAGCUUUCUCUAACAUCACUUGUGUGCUUUAUGGGCACCCUACAAGCUAUAGCUGUGACUUUUGUGAUGGAGCACAAAGCCUCUGUAUGGAGAAUUGGCUGGGACAUGAACCUUCUUGCUGCUGCCUAUGCUGGGAUUGUGACAUCAAGCAUUUCAUACUAUGUCCAAGGAUUGGUGAUAAAGAAAAAGGGUCCAGUUUUUGCUACUGCUUUUAGCCCCUUGAUGAUGAUCAUAGUAGCCAUUUUGGGUUCUUUCAUCUUGGCAGAAAAGAUAAAUCUUGGAGGUGUGAUUGGAGCCAUCUUGAUAGUAAUAGGGCUUUACUCAGUCCUGUGGGGGAAGCACAAGGAGAGGAUGGAGGAUCCUUAUGAGAUACCUGAACCAGUAAAGGGUGUUCAAGGGAAUGGCAAUUCAAUGACAACAAUAGAAGAUAUUGAGGCUAAUGAAGUUAUUGAUCUACAAAAAGCAGAAGCCAACAGCAAGUUGUCUGCAUUGGCCAUUAGCAUGCCUAUGCCCAUGCCAGAGCUUCCAAUUAAAGCCACUCAAGAGCCCAAAGACUAAUUAAGCAGAAGAAAAUUCUAUUGGGAAUAGGCUUCUUUUCUUUUUCUUUUUUU